CCUGGUUGAUCCUGCCAGUAGUCAUAUGGUUGUUUCAAAGAUUAAGCCAUGCAUGUGUAAGUAUGAACGAAUUCAGACUAUGAAAUUGCGAAUGGCUCAUUAAAUCAGUUAUAGUUUGUUUGAUGGUAACUACUACUCGGAUAAUCGUAGUAAUUCUAGAAGGGAUGCAUUUAUUAGAGAAAAGAUCGACGCGGGCUCUGCCCGUUGCUCUGAUGAUUCAUGAUAACUCGACGGAUCGCAUGGCCUUAGUGCUGGCGACGCAUCAUUAAAAUUUCUGCCCUAUCAACUUUCGAUGGUAGGAUAGUGGGCUACCAUGGUGGUAAUGGGUGACGGAGAAUUAGGGUUCGAUUCCUGAGAGGGAGCCUGAGAAACGGCUACCACAUCCAAGGAAGGCAGCUGGCACGCAAAUUACCCAAUCCUGACACGGGGAGGUAGUCACAAUAAAUUACAAUACCGGGCUCUUUGAGUCUGGUAAUUGGAAUGAGUACAAUCUAAAUCCAUUAACGAGGAUCCAUUGGAGGGCAAGUCUGGUGCCAGCAGCCGCGGUAAUUCCAGCUCCAAUAGCGUAUAUUUAAGUUGUUGCAGUUAAAAAGCUCGUAGUUGAACCUUGGGAUGGGUCGCCCGGUGCGCCUUUGGUGAGCACCGGUCGGCUUGUUUCUUCUAUCGGCGAUAUGCUCGUGGCCUUAACUGGCCGGGUCGUGCCUCCGACGCUGUAACUUUGAAGAAAUUAGAGUGCUCAAAGCAAGCCUACGCUUUGUAUACAUUAGCAUGGGAUAACAUCAUAGGAUUUCGAUCCUAUUGUGUUGGCCUUCGAGAUCGGAGUAAUGAUUAACAUGGACAGUCGGGGGCAUUUGUAUUUCAUAGUCAGAGGUGAAAUUCUUGGAUUAUGAAUGACGAACAACUGCGAAAGCAUUUGCCAAGGAUGUUUUCAUUAAUCAAGAACGAAAGUUGGGGGCUCGAAGACGAUCAGAUACCGUCCUAGUCUCAACCAUAAACGAUACCGACCAGGGAUCAGCGGAUGUUGCUUUUAGCACUCCGCUGGCACCUUAUGAGAAAUCAAAUUUUUUGGGUUCCGGGGGGAGUAUGGUCGCAAGGCUGAAACUUAAAGGAAUUGACGGAAGGGCACCACCAGGAGUGGAGCCUGCGGCUUAAUUUAACUCAACACGGGGAAACUUACCAGGUCCAGACAUAGUAAGGAUUGACAGACUGAGAGCUCUUUCUUGAUUCUAUGGGUGGUGGUGCAUGGUCGUUCUUAGUUGGUGGUGCGAUUUGUCUGGUUAUUUCCGUUAACGAACGAGACCUUAGCCUGUUAACUAGCUACAUGCAGGCAUCCUUUCACAGCCAGCUUCUUAGAGGGACUAUGCCCGUUUAGGCCAUGGAAGUUUGAGGCAAUAACAGGUCUGUGAUGCCCUUAGAUGUUCUGGGUCGCGACGCUGCGUGCUACACUGAUGUAUUCAACGAGUUCACACCUUGGCCGGAUUGACAGGCCGGGUAAUCUUUGAAAUUUCAUCGUGAUGGGGAUAGAUAAUUGCAAUUGUUGGUAUUCAACAAGGAAUUCCUAGUAAGCGCGAAGUCAUCAGCUCGCGUUGACUACGCCCCUGCCCUUUGUACACACACCGCCCCGUCGCUCCCUACCGAUUGAAUGAUCCAGUGAAGUGUUCGGAUCGGGGUGGCGUGGGUGGUUUUUGCUAUCUGCGACGUCAUGAGAAGUCCACUAAACCUUACAAUUUAGAGGAAGGAGAAGUCAGAACAAGGUUUCCGUAGGUGAACCUCCUGCGG
rnacentral:rRNA from 1 species